rnacentral:tRNA from 4 species
AGGAGGGUUCCUUUAUUGGCAAGAAGGGCUAAACUGUAAAUUUAGUACAUUAUAAUGUUUUGAGGGUUCGAAUCCCUCGUCUCCUA